GCUGUCUUGUCGGGGUUCCUGCUUAUUAAAAAGUGGGAUGAGAGGUGGAAGCACCAACCCGCGAACCUGAUCCGGUUAAUACCGGCGUAGGAAACAAGAUUUCAGGCUGC
rnacentral:ncRNA from 2 species